rnacentral:rRNA from 1 species
AUGCACGCUGGCGGCGUGCCUAAUACAUGCCAGUCGAGCGAACAGACGAGGAGCUUGCUCCUCUGACGUUAGCGGCGGACGGGUGAGUAACACGUGGAUAACCUACCUAUAAGACUGGGAUAACUUCGGGAAACCGGAGCUAAUACCGGAUAAUAUAUUGAACCGCAUGGUUCAAUAGUGAAAGACGGUUUUGCUGUAACUUAUAGAUGGAUCCGCGCCGCAUUAGCUAGUUGGUAAGGUAACGGCUUACCAAGGCAACGAUGCGUAGCCGACCUGAGAGGGUGAUCGGCCACACUGGAACUGAGACACGGUCCAGACUCCUACGGGAGGCAGCAGUAGGGAAUCUUCCGCAAUGGGCGAAAGCUUGACGGAGCAACGCCGCGUGAGUGAUGAAGGUCUUCGGAUCGUAAAACUCUGUUAUUAGGGAAGAACAAAUGUGUAAGUAACUAUGCACGUCUUGACGGUACCUAAUCAGAAAGCCACGGCUAACUACGUG